GUCGAACGCUGGCGGCGUGCCUAAUACAUGCAAGUAGGACGCAGUUGCGAACGGGUGAUUUACGCGUAUGUCACUACCUAUUAGAGGGGGAUAACUAUUGGAACCGAUAGCUAAUACCGCAUCCUAGUAGAUUGACCUGCGUUGUAUUCGCUAGUAGGUAGGGUAAUGGCCUACCUAGGCAACGAUACAUCGCCGACCUGGGAGGGAUGUCGGCCAAAAUGGGAAGGAGACACGGGCCAGACUACGAAGGGAGGGAGCAGGAGGGGAUCAUAGGAAAUGGGGGGAAAGCUGAACGAGCAAAGCCGCGUGAGUGAAGAAGGGUUUCGGAUCGUAAAGCUCUGUUGUGAAGGAAGCGGUACUUAACCAGAAAGGGACGGCUAACUACGUGCCAGCAGCCGCGGUAAUAC
rnacentral:rRNA from 1 species